GGGGUCUCAAGCAAGGAAGACACAGAUGUCAGGGGAUAACUUGAAUGGCUGAGGGCUGGAAUAGAUAGCCUGCAGGAUUUUUGCAUUGUGGUUUUCUCACUGACCUUCCUGGCUCCUGGGCCAGGAUGACUGGAAGGUAAGGUUGGGUUCAGCUGAGUCUAUUAACGAGAGCACCUACCUGUGGCUUGGACUUCUCACAGCGUGGCAGCUGGGUCCUGAGAGGGAGCCUUCCAGAAGAGCAAGCAUUCCAGCAAGCAUUCCAAAAGAACUUGGCAGAAGCUGCACCGUCUUCUAUGACACAGUUUCUCUUUCCUCAUACUUGCAUGGCUGAGGUAGUUGCAAGUCCAUCCAGAUUCAAGAUGUGGUGGUAUAGACCCCACCUCUCAGUGGGAGAAGUAUCAAAAAAAUUGGGGGCCAUGUUGUAAAACUGCCACACUGGUUUGAACUUUGAUUUAUAUACAUAUUCUCUACUGGAGCUAUAAGCUAUUUGAGGAUAAAAGUUGUGUCUUAUUUAGUUUUGAGCUUUCAGGACCUCAGACAAGUCCUGCUACUUAACAGAAACCCAUGGGAGCCCCAUGUGACACUGGCAGCAUGAUGGGGAAGACAGAUAGCACGCAGGGACGCAGAUAAAGCAGUCAGGACAAACUCGAGUGCAUCGCGUGUCGAGGCAGAGCACACAUGAGGAAGAGCUCCUGGCUAAGGUCGAGACGUGUACGUGGGCUCCGUCUCUGUCAUCAGUCAUGAAGCCAAAUUAAACUGAAGCAUAAGCAUUGCCCUCCAUCAUGUUUAUCUGCAAGAUAUUAAUAAAAACACGGUGGCUGUUCAUUCCAUUUUUCACUUUUACUUGUCAUUACCUUGUUGCACCAAUCAAGCAAACAGAUGGUGAUCACUUAAUUGAAGUACAGAGGCUGAGCUUUACACCUAUAUUUCAUAACUGUCUGGACGAUGGAACCAUGUGCACGUUUUACCAACAGCCCUUGAGAGAGGUUAUCUUGCAUGGCUUAAGGAGAAAGAAUCCACAUGUCGAAGGAACACAUUUAUAAUUGUGGGAUAUCAGGCACCACUGACAGUGACUAAAGAAGUUUGGAGGCAUCGGUGCUCAGAUCUCAUCUUCUCCUGGAGUGGGCCAUCUCUGUCUAUUCCUGGACAGUCUGCCCUGCUUAUCAGCUCACAGCUAAAUCUUCCACCUGAACAGCUUCUCCCAUCCUCAUUAACUCAGGACGGUCGCUGUGCUCAGGAUCUUCUGACACUUUCUCUGGCUUUUUUCAUCCUGACUUCUCCACGUUCCAUGGGUAUCUUCCCCUUCACUUUCAAGGAUACACAAGUUCACUCAACUUGAUAAUUCUUCAUUUGGUUCUGUUGCAUACUCUAAGAAAUCUGUCAAUCUCCUCUCUUUUACUGCCCAAACUUUUAAGUGUAUAUUAUAUACGUCCUCUGCCUCUAUCUUUCACUGCCUGCUCAUUCUUUAAAAUUUUGAUUAAAUUUUAACUCAACAAAACUUCUUGUGGCAACAUCCUAAGUCUUUACUCUUCUUGAUGCCUUUUUGAAAUUCAAUUCUUCUAACAAUCCCUUCUUCUAGAAUAAUCAUUCGCAAUCUUAUCAGACCCUCAAUUCCUUUUAGCACAAAUACUUGUGAUGCUGCCCUAUCAUUCUGUAAUGAAAUGCGUUGAC
rnacentral:lncRNA from 1 species